rnacentral:tRNA from 1 species
AGGGGUAUAGUUCAGGGGUAGAGCAUUUGACUGUAGAUCAAAUAAAUAAAUCUUUAAAAAAAAAAAAAAGGAAAGUUCUUGCUCUUUCUGCCUAUU